AUGACUCACGACUGUAAGUUUCUCUAGAUAAGAGCAUCUGCUAAAUGACUAAAA
rfam:Salmo salar isolate Sally breed double haploid chromosome ssa19, whole genome shotgun sequence.